GAGCUCGAGGCAAAAUUUUUUGAGGUAAGAGCAGCACUUGAAGCGAAAUACCAGAAGCUUUAUGAACCAUUAUGCACAAAGGUACUACAUUUCCUCAUGGUUGCAUGGUGAUAGAAUAAUUUACAUGACCAUUAUAUUUCUUUAUUUGGAAGCAUUAUUGAAUGCUUUAUGAAGUUCCAAGUAUUAGCUUCUUGCAUUAUUUGUCUGAAUGCUUGGCUGCUAAAGUAUUGGACAACCAAGAUAUUUUAUAAUCACAAAAUAUCAAUGUCCGUGGCCUUCUCUUAAUUUAGUCUUUCCCUGGAAUCGGUGCAAAUUUAGUUUAACCCUUCAUUUGUAUGUGUAUAGAUACUCCAUUUGGUUUUUUUUGUUACCUCUCCUUUUGUUGAUGUUUGUUUGCUGGCAGGGGUUUUUCUACGAUGAGAGGUGCCUAAUCUAAAGCCUGCAUCGAUUCGGUGCAUAUCUUGAAACCUUUUCCAUUUCUUCACUACAGGUACAAAUUUAGUUUAACCCUUCAUUUGUAUGUGUAUAGAUACUCCAUUUGGUUUUUUUGUUAACUCUCCUUUUGUUUAUGUUUGUUUGCUGGCAGGGGUUUUUCUACGGGGAGAGGUGCCCAAUCUAAAGCAUGCAUCGAUUCGACUAUACCCUCACAUUGCCAGGGAUUGGUUUUACGGUGAAGAUAAGGAACAUGACAUUAAAGUGGUUGUUCCAGGAUUGUCUGACUGUGGCCAGCUCCGGUCUAAGGGGGCAAGGAGCUGCCUAUAGAGUUGUAGGAGAGCUGAGGAGAAGGAUGAGGCAAGAUGUGAGCUCACUUACUCAGACAUCCCUACAAGAUUAAGAGCAUGUGCUCGAUAUCUCAGUUUCUGCCCUUGCGUGUUCAUGUUAAAAGACAUGGUGAGUAUUCUGAAUAAAACUUUCUGGUGAGUCUUCUGAUAGCUACUCUAAGAAGAAUCCCAGGAUGGAAUCACACUGGAAAGGGGUCUCUGCGAUCAGUAGCAGCUGUCAGGCAAAACUUGGGUGUUAGUGCCUUUGCUGUUUCUUUGUAGAUAGCUGUAUCGUCUGUAUAUGAAAAGAUUGACAAGUGCUGACUCAGGAUGGUAGCUGACUUAAGAAGCAAGAGGGUUGUUAGAGGUGGUGUAUUUUGGCUGGCUGGAUUAUCAGGUUCCAUGCUGUCUAAACAUGCAUUGUGGUCCUUGUUUUUCUCACGACAGAGCACAUUUUGCAAGGGGGAUAGGUCACUCCCCUUAGUGGCAACAAUUUAUACAUCAUACAAAUAGUAGAAGCAAUGUAAAAGAAGCUCAAAUUGGGCAACAUUUUUAUCAAAUGAGGAUUAGUUACAGA